rnacentral:rRNA from 1 species
GCGCAGCAGGCGAGAAUACUUUACAAUGUGCGAAGCACGAUAAGGGAACUCUGAGUGCCUCCUAAGGAGGCUGUUCAGGUGUCUAAAAGCACCUGAAGGAAGGGCUGGGUAAGACCGGUGCCAGCCGCCGCGGUAACACCGGCAGCCCAAGUGGUAGCCACGUUUAUUGGGUCUAAAGCGUCCGUAGCCGGCUGGGUAAGUUCCUUGGGAAAUUUGGCUGCUUAACAGUCAAGCUUUCAGGGAAUACUGCUCGGCUUGGGACCGGGAGAGGUCAGAGGUACUCCAGGGGUAGGGUGAAAUCCAUUAAUCCUUGGGGGACCACCGGUAGCGAAGGCGUCUGACCAGACCGGGUCCGACGGUGAGGGACGAAGGCUAGGGGCGCGAACCGGAUUAGAUACCCCUGUAGU